GACGAACGCUGGCGGCGUGCCUAAUACAUGCAAGUGGGACGCAAGAGAACACACUGUGCUUGCACACCGUGUUUUCUUGAGUCGCGAACGGGUGAGUAACGCGUAGGUAACCUGCCUAUUAGCGGGGGAUAACUAUUGGAAACGAUAGCUAAUACCGCAUAAUAUUAAUUAUUGCAUGAUAAUUGAUUGAAAGAUGCAAGCGCAUCACUAGUAGAUGGACCUGCGUUGUAUUAGCUAGUUGGUAAGGUAAGAGCUUACCAAGGCGACGAUACAUAGCCGACCUGAGAGGGUGAUCGGCCACACUGGGACUGAGACACGGCCCAGACUCCUACGGGAGGCAGCAGUAGGGAAUCUUCGGCAAUGGACGAAAGUCUGACCGAGCAACGCCGCGUGAGUGAAGAAGGUUUUCGGAUCGUAAAGCUCUGUUGUAAGUCAAGAACGUGUGUGAU
rnacentral:rRNA from 1 species